rnacentral:lncRNA from 1 species
CCUCGCUCUCACUGGCAGGUUCUGCCCUGAUGUUGGAACCAACUUCUUCAGGCUUCCAAAGCAGACAGAAGACCAGCAGUUCUCCAAGAAUCCUCCAGGCCUUUUGCGUCAAAUUGGAACUUCUAAAACAUCCAGCACUGGGAACUAUCAGUGUGAGACAGCCAUUGUUGGACUACAAAAACCACGUCAUGUAAGCCAAUCUAGUGAACUCCCCUUAAUAUAAAUUCGCUCUAACAGUUCUGUGUCUUUAGAGGACCAUGACUGAUACACUGCAGAACAGGUCAACUUCCAGCAGGCUUAGUCUUUGCUGCCCAAGUCUGUCUUCAUCUUGCUCUUCUCCCUUCUGAGACUCCCUUCCCACGUCAUGCAGGGCUUCCUGGCCUCAGAGAGGAUGCAGCAGGGUGAGGGGAAGGGCGUGUGAUUCUGUAACUGGACCAGUGCAUGAACUCAAGGUCGAGGUCUAGCUAUGGGACGCAUGACAACUGGAAAGCAGUGCCCCACCCAGGCUGCUUGAAGCUGCAUCCACCAACCAAACCGGGCAAGGGCCAGAGUUGUCAGUCUGUGGAUCGGAAGAGAUUCAUGCUACAGGAUGACAGAGUGUGUCUGAUCAACUCCAAGUUUCUGGCAUCCGUCACCUGCCUGACUUCACAUACCUGCCCAUCACUUUGUCUUCGCGUGCACCCACAGAUAUUACCACUGAGGUAACAAUAAACAUCUGAUCUUACAG